UUCAUACCAGGAUUUGCUUCCUCGAGCUUUUUGAGCAACAUUGUCAUGUUCUCCUGAACUUUUCUGUUGACCUUGGCUUCCAGUUCACUUUCAAUGCUUUCCUUUAUUGUCCUCGUCAGCUGUUCUACAUAAGGGUCUGUAGAAGAAGGUGCAGAUGUUCCACCGGCAUUUUUACAACUCCUCCCCACCAACCAUUCUCGCCCAUGAUCCUUUCCACCUGCAACCAAUAUUUCUGGAUCUUUUCCAGAACUGAUCAAUUUUUUCAUCCGCUUCUGCAAUAGAACACCAUUGCCCACAUUUCAGAUAUAAUACAAGUACAGAUUUCUAAAAAAUUGCAAAAACCAUUGUUCAUUUUUUCGAUAAUAUAUGCAAGCUAUAAUUAUUUUAUAAAUAUGAAGUGAGGUGACUGGUGAGAGUGAAGGGGAAUUUUUCAUUUUAUGAGAGUUUAAAACAUAUACACAGAAUACAAUAUAAAUUUAUAAGUUAGAUAAUAAGAUCAUGUAUGGAUAUUCCUUUUCUAGCCCCCAACAAAUUGUUCACAAAGCUGCUCUAGAUGAAUAUACACACAAUACAAUAUAAAUUCAUAAGUUAUGACCCAACCUCUUAUUUAAUGAAGCAUAUAAAAAAUGAAAAAAAAGGGAUUAUAAUAAAUUAUAGAAGACAAUAACAAAUUUAAUCAGUUAAAACUAAUAUUAACUUACAAUUCUUUUCUUAACUGCUUUUGCAGUUGGCAUGUACUCCCUGUCUUUCUUUCGCUCACGAGUUUCAAAGUAGACUUUGGCGUUUGAUGGUGAGGCUUGGUUUGGAUCUUUUUUUUUCUGGGAAAUAAUAAAAACAAAUCACGUGUCAUUAGGGACAAGUAUCCGACACAUACAAGAAUAUUAUUUGAAAAUUCAUAUAACAUGCAUGUACGAAGUCACAUACCAAGUCUGCCCUGACUUGUGCAAGAGACUUUGGACCUAUAGUAUGUGUAUCCGUAUAUGAAUUACGGCGCUCUGCAUUAUCCUCAGCUAUUGACUGCAAAAAUAAAAAAAAAUCAACGGUAAUACUUGGAAAUAUUUUGACUGUCAUGCAGAUGGUAAUUAUGAUUAAAUUAAUGUCUAACAUGUUCACAUAUAUAUACUAUUGAAUCAGUGGUGCUUGGACAAAUUGAAUAAAUAAAUAUUUAGUGACUAGAAAUAUUUUUUUUAAUACCUUAAUCUCGUCAUCACCCCAGUAUAUUAAGAGCUGUUUAAAAUCCUCCAACGGAAUGUCCUCUGGCCUGUUUUGGAGCCUUUCCUCAUCCGAAUUAUACUUUGUAUAGUACUUCUUCUUUAUACGAGAUUUGUGCACCCUCCACAAAUCAGCAAGAGUCCUGUUCACCCACCAUUGGGCUUCAUCGGGAAUAAUAUACCUUUGCUAUAAUAUACAAAAAAAUGAUUAUUUCAUCAUGUAAAUAUGGAAAGUAAAUUACACUAUAAUUCAGGUGAUAUAUAUUACCCUAGUAUAUUCCCACAUAAACUUCUUCAGUUCAGCGGGUACAACAUGCCAGUUGACAUAAGUAAGAGGCACAUUAUCUUUGACUACUGUCCCAAGAAACCUACUCAACUCAGAAUCUACUCUUCCAUCUUCUGAAAUUGGCUGGGAGUGCUUAUUCAACAUAAUUAUAGGUCUUUCGGCAGCUGCCCUUGCAUGAACCUUGGUCAUUUUUGACCGACCUCUUGGCUUUCUAGGAGCUGUACAAAUACAUAUUUAAAACAAAGACAGUUUUUUAAUAGUUACAUGUUCAAAUUAGCUGAUAUUAACUCCAAGUUGUAUUUAAAUUGUAUUAAACUGAUUUUAGUUGAAUUUUAUUAACUUUUCCGAGCAAUUCAUAUUUGUGAUCCCAUACCUUUUUCGAUUUCUUCAUCUGCAGCGUCUUCCAUGUUUGCUUCAGGAACCUCAUGUGGUUCUGGACCUUCAAGUCCCUGCUUUUGUUUCUCCCGCAAGGCCAAAUAAGCCGAGAUAGAACCAGCUGCUACAUUAUCGACCGGCUGUUUUAAUAGCUUACUGCAACUUGGCUUUAAGACUUUGCUUCGAACUUUACUUGGUACAGCCUUCUGAGUUGCAGUGCCAAUUUGCGUUUCUUCCGGCUCUGCUGUUUCGGUGGCAGUAUGAGUUGUUUCCAUCUCUAUUAUAGUGGCAGCAUUGGCUCGCGAACGGGUUCUCGGUCCAGGUGCAAUCUUCUUCUUCUCCUGGACUUUUUUCGCUUUCUGCAAAUUGUAGGAAGUUAAGUAAUACAAAAUUAUGUAGCACAUCUUUUGAUGUGCAUAAUCCCAGGAUGUAUCAUAAGCCAUGAAAUAUUUCACACUGUACCGGAGAUGUGUCAUCACUUGCACUUUCGCUGUCAAACUCCAGAUUAUAGUCAUCUUCAGUAGUUGCUUUCUUUCCUUUCACCUUUUUNCUAAAACUGUUACAUUAAACCCAUUUUUCAGAAAAGUAACACUUUUUGUGUGUUACAUCCGCGAGCAUUACCUUAGACAUAUAAGGUAACACUUUCUAGUUCUAUUGUAACAUCUCAUAGAGUGAUACCUUAUGCAGAUAGAGUAACGCUUUAGUAUUUAAAUGUAACACCCUACUGUGUUACCUUUGACUUGUAAUAAAAUCUUUAUGAAAUAGGACCCACCAGUGGGCCCCACACGUGGAGCCCGCACGUGGGCCCCACACGUGGCCCGCACGUGGGCCCCACACGUGGCCCGCACGUGGGCCCUACACGUGGCCCCCACAAGUGGGCCCCACUAGGUUACUCUCUAAUGUAACACUAGAAUUUAUGUAAAUGCAACACCUUUUUAUAUUUUUUUGCAACACUAUAAUAGAUAUGGUAACAACAGUUUCCAAAAGCAUUGCCCUAAAAAUCGUAUAAUGCAACACAACAUAUAUCAAUUGUAACACUUGACAUAAAAAAAAAACUGAAAUAUACUGUUUGUUCAUACAUCAUUUCCAUAAUAUUUCAACCACAAAAUAAUAGCCAACCAAACCAACCACAAGCAAUCCAAAUCCUUCCACCAAACAACCACAAGCAAUCCAAAUCCUUCCACCAGCCAUUACAAAAUAACACCUUCCAAACUACUAAUAAUACCAAAACAAAGUAAACCACAUUAAUAACUACGAAUACCAGAAUGUUAAAGAUACCAAAGUCUAGUCUUAAAUGUACUGAUGAUAAUGAGAUGAUAAUCAAAGGCAGCUAAGAAGUUUCGCCGGCUGUCACUGGAGUUCCAUUAUCAUCACCAUCACUGGAUACAGUAGCUCGAAUGUCAACAUCCAACUUCAUACCAGGAUUUGCUUCCUCGAGCUUUUUGAGCAACAUUGUCAUGUUCUCCUGAACUUUUCUGUUGACCUUGGCUUCCAGUUCACUUUCAAUGCUUUCCUUUAUUGUCCUCGUCAGCUGUUCUACAUAAGGGUCUGUAGAAGAAGGUGCAGAUGUUCCACCGGCAUUUUUACAACUCCUCCCCACCAACCAUUCUCGCCCAUGAUCCUUUCCACCUGCAACCAAUAUUUCUGGAUCUUUUCCAGAACUGAUCAAUUUUUUCAUCCGCUUCUGCAAUAGAAC
rnacentral:lncRNA from 1 species